rnacentral:rRNA from 1 species
GACGAACGCUGGCGGCGUGCUUAACACAUGCAAGUCGAACGGAAAGGCCCUGCUUUUGUGGGGUGCUCGAGUGGCGAACGGGUGAGUAACACGUGAGUAACCUGCCCUUGACUUUGGGAUAACUUCAGGAAACUGGGGCUAAUACCGUAUAGGAGCUCCUGCUGCAUGGUGGGGGUUGGAAAGUUUCGGCGGUUGGGGAUGGACUCGCGGCUUAUCAGCUUGUUGGUGGGGUAGUGGCUUACCAAGGCUUUGACGGGUAGCCGGCCUGAGAGGGUGACCGGCCACAUUGGGACUGAGAUACGGCCCAGACUCCUACGGGAGGCAGCAGGGGGGAAUAUUGCACAAUGGGCGGAAGCCUGAUGCAGCAACGCCGCGUGCGGGAUGACGGCCUUCGGGUUGUAAACCGCUUUCGCCUGUGACGAAGCGUGAGUGACGGUAAUGGGUAAAGAAGCACCGGCUAACUACGUG